AGGGCGUCGUGCCUUUAUAAGACUGCGUUAAUGUUUCCGUGGAGUUAUCCUUUCCGUUGUUGUUUAUUGCUUGUUAAACAUGGCUUCAUUUGCAAAGGUGGUUGUGUGUGUCCUCAUUGCUUGUGUCUGUAAUGCAUUCUGUUUUCCGAAGAGAGAUGUGAACUUUAAGGCCUCUGCAGUUGACCGCCAAAGUGAUGAUGUGGUUGUCACCACAACACCCGUUCCCCACAACCAGACCACCUCUGCCCAUACUGAAGCUGGUGGUGGUGCAAGUGAAGAUGCUGUGGCUACUACCCAGCACCUAAUCCACACAACCAGACAACUUCUGCACAAACUGAAGUUACUGAUGGAGCCAGUGAAGAUGCUGUGGACCGCCAAAGUGAUGUGGUUGUCGCCACAACACCCAAUCCCCACAACCAGACCACAUCUGCCCCUACUGAAGCUGGUGAUGGAGCAAGUGAAGAUGCUGUGGCUACCACCCCAACACCAAAUCCCCCAACUACAUCUGACCACACUGCAGCUACGGUAAGGACAUCAGUGCAUGUCUGUUUUGAUGGAACACUUUGAAUGUUUGCGCCCCCCUUUUGACAGUGUCGCUUUCUAUUUGUGUGUAAUCGCAAGAUGAUGCAAGUGAGGGUGCUGUGGCUGCCCAAACUGGAACUACUG
ensembl:lncRNA